GAUGAAGAACGUAGCGAAAUGCGAUAAGUAAUGUGAAUUGCAGAAUUCAGUGAAUCAUCGAAUCUUUGAACGCACAUUGCGCCCGCCAGUAUUCUGGCGGGCAUGCCUGUUCGAGCGUCAUUUCAACCAUCAAGCCCUGCUUGCGUUGGGGUCCUGCGGCUGCCCGCAGGCCCUGAAAACCAGUGGCGGGCUCGCUAGUCACACCGAGCGCAGUAAUACAUCUCGCUUUGGGCGUGCGGCGGGUUCUUGCCGUUAAACACCCCCUUUUUACCAAGGUUGACCUCGGAUCAGGUAGGAAUACCCGCUGAACUUAAGCAUACAAUAAGGGAGGA
rnacentral:misc_RNA from 1 species